GUGUCAGCAGCCGCGGUAAUACGGAGGAUUCUAGCGUUGUCCGGAUUUAUUGGGUUUAAAGGGUGCGUAGGCGGAUGACUAAGUCAGUGGUGAAAGCCGGCAGCUUAACUGUCGAAAUGCCUUUGAAACUGGUCAUCUUGAAUAUAGUUGAGGUAGGCGGAAUGUGACAUGUAGCGGUGAAAUGCUUAGAUAUGUUACAGAACACCGAUUGCGAAGGCAGCUUACUAAACUAUCAUUGACGCUGAGGCACGAAAGCGUGGGGAUCAAACAGGAUUAGAUACCCUUGUAGUCC
rnacentral:rRNA from 1 species